rnacentral:misc_RNA from 1 species
GAUGAAGAACGUAGCGAAAUGCGAUAAGUAAUGUGAAUUGCAGAAUUCAGUGAAUCAUCGAAUCUUUGAACGCACAUUGCGCCCGCCAGUAUUCCGGCGGGCAUGCCUGUUCGAGCGUCAUUUCAACCAUCAAGCCCCAGGCUUGUGUUGGGGACCUGCGGCUGCCGCAGGCCCUGAAAACCAGUGGCGGGCUCGCUGUCACACCGGGCGUAGUAGAUUUUAUCUCGCUCAGGGCGUGCUGCGGGUUCCGGCCGUUAAAAAGCCUUUUUUACCCAAGGUUGACCUCGGAUCAGGUAGGAAGACCCGCUGAACUUAAGCAUAUCAAUAAGCGGAGGA